rnacentral:rRNA from 1 species
UAAGGAAUAUUGGUCAAUGGGGGCAACCCUGAACCAGCCAUGCCGCGUGCAGGACGACUGCCCUAUGGGUUGUAAACUGCUUUUGCCGGGGAAUAAACCCCACUACGUGUAGUGGGCUGAACGUACCCGGAGAAUAAGGAUCGGCUAACUCCGUGCCAGCAGCCGCGGUAAUACGGAGGAUCCGAGCGUUAUCCGGAUUUAUUGGGUUUAAAGGGUGCGUAGGCGGCACUUUAAGUCAGGGGUGAAAGACGGCAGCUCAACUGUCGCAGUGCCCUUGAUACUGAAGUGCUUGAAUGCGGUUGAAGACGGCGGAAUGAGACAAGUAGCGGUGAAAUGCAUAGAUAUGUCUCAGAACACCGAUUGCGAAGGCAGCUGUCUAAGCCGUUAUUGACGCUGAUGCACGAAAGCGUGGGGAUCGAACA